rnacentral:rRNA from 1 species
GAUGAACGCUGGCGGCGUGCCUAAUACAUGCAAGUCGAGCGAACGGACGAGAAGCUUGCUUCUCUGAUGUUAGCGGCGGACGGGUGAGUAACACGUGGAUAACCUACCUAUAAGACUGGGAUAACUUCGGGAAACCGGAGCUAAUACCGGAUAAUAUUUUGAACCGCAUGGUUCAAAAGUGAAAGACGGUCUUGCUGUCACUUAUAGAUGGAUCCGCGCUGCAUUAGCUGGUUGGUAAGGUAACGGCUUACCAAGGCAACGAUGCAUAGCCGACCUGAGAGGGUGAUCGGCCACACUGGAACUGAGACACGGUCCAGACUCCUACGGGAGGCAGCAGUAGGGAAUCUUCCGCAGUGGGCGAAAGCCUGACGGAGCAACGCCGCGUGAGUGAUGAAGGUCUUCGGAUCGUAAAACUCUGUUAUUAGGGAAGAACAUAUGUGUAAGUAACUGUGCACAUCUUGACGGUACCUAAUCAGAAAGCCACGGCUAACUACGUG